ACCGGCCUACGCCAGAGCCACAGCAACGCGGGAUCCGAGCCGCGUCUGCAACCUACACCACAGCUCACGGCAACGCCGGAUCAUUAACCCACUGAGCAAGGGCAGGGACCGAACCCGCAACCUCAUGGUUCCUAGUCGGAUUCGUUAACCACUGCGCCACGACGGGAACUCCAGAUUCUUCCUCUUUAAAAGGAUCAUUAUAUAGUAUAUUCUUUCAGAGCUGCUAUGAGCAUUAAAGGAACAUAUAAAGGACUUAAAUCAGCAUCUGACUCAGAGAACAUACAAUAUAAGUAUUCAUCAGAUAAAACAAUCAUUUUACAGGCAAUUUUAUUUCCUUUCAAAAUCAUCUCAGUUUUUUAAGAAUAAUUCAAAUUCGAUUUUGCAUUAAUUAUAUCUACAUAUCUACUUUAAACUAUCCUUCAAAUAUAUUUUUUUAUAUUGUUCAGUAGUUUCUAGAAUCAUCUGUAGCUGUACAUUCAUCAUCUCGGAAGGAUGAAUACAGUUUGGAAUCUAUUUACUCAUUCUGGAGAAUGUAGAUUUGGUGAUUUUCAGGUGUGAGGUUGAAAUAAAUAUAACUUCAAAGUCUCUUUCACUUGUUCCAUGUAAAUAUAUUUAUAACUAUAUUCCAUUUCUUCUGAUUUCUGAACCAUAGAUUUCCUAAAACAAUGCUUUCCCUAUCAGACCUCAGCAGGUGUUUUUAGACAGCAUUAUAAAUUCCAUAAUUUUUCUAAAGCGAUGUCAAUAAUAACCAAGGCAAUUGUUCCAUCUUUGUUCAGAUUCUCUUACUGGAAAAUUAUUUCCUUUCUGUUGAUUUAUGCCUGCCUUCAUAAUUUCAUGUUUUUGAAUUCUAAUACCCUCAUUUUUCUCUGAAUCCUUUUCAGUAGAUUCCUAUUAUUGAGACAGUAGAACAUGCCUGUUAUUAUUUUUGAUUUAUUAAUUGUUAAUUAUCAGUAUAUUAUUAGUUACUGAUGUAAGCGUGUGCGAGGAGAAAGGCUUCUUGUUACUCAUAUUAACAUUAUUGCUUCUAUGUUUCAAUAGAUUAGUUUUUGGAAUUAUAUUGGUGAAUUUGAGAAGGAAGAUUUCUAUGGCAAAUUGUUUAUGCACCAAUAAAUUCUCUAAUAGACAUUUUCACCAGUCUGCUAAAGUUUCAUCCAAUAAGAAUUGUAUAAAGAAUGAACUUAUUUUCUCUUUCCUCUCAAGACAGUAAUUAUAUUUAAAAAAACCUAGAAUUCAUACCAUGUGCUUUUCUUUAUACCUUGGACCCUGGAAAAGUAUAAAAUUUUAACUGAGAUGAGACAAGCAAUCUACACAUUAAGCUCUUUGCAGAAUUAAAUUUAUGUAUCUGUAUUCUUAAAUUAUGUGAUAAAUAAAUUAAGCUUUGCAUAUUGAGACA
rnacentral:lncRNA from 1 species